rnacentral:rRNA from 1 species
UACGUAGGCAGCGAGCGUUGUUCGGACUUACUGGGCGUAAAGAGUGUGUAGGCGGUGCUCCCAGUCUGUUGUGAAAUCUCCCGGCUUAACUGGGAGGGUGCAGCGGAAACUAGAGUGCUAGAGGGUGGGAGAGGUAAGCGGAAUUCCUGGUGUAGCGGUGAAAUGCGUAGAUAUCAGGAGGAACACCUGUGGUGUAGACAGCUUACUGGACCACUUCUGACGCUGAGACACGAAAGCGUGGGUAGCAAACAGG